GACGAACGCUGGCGGCGCGCUUAACACAUGCAAGUCGAGCGAGAACCAGGGCUUCGGCCCUGGGGAAAGCGGCGAACGGGUGAGUAACACGUGAGUCAUCCACCCUCGGUACCGGGAUAGCCCGGGGAAACCCGGAUUAAUACCGGAUGGCCCAACAGCUCUUCGGGGCGGUUGGAAAAGGUAGCUUCAGCCUCCGACCGAGGACGAGCUCGCGGCGGAUUAGCUUGUUGGCGGGGUAAAGGCCCACCAAGGCGACGAUCCGUAGCUGGUCUGAGAGGACGAUCAGCCACAGUGGGACUGAGACACGGCCCAGACUCCGACGGGAGGCAGCAGUGGGGAAUCUUGCGCAAUGGGCGAAAGCCUGACGCAGCGACGCCGCGUGCGGGAAGAAGGCCUUCGGGUUGUAAACCGCUUUCAGGAGGGACGAAGCCACUCGGGUUAAUAGCCCAGAGGGUGACGGUACCUCCAGAAGAAGCCCCGGCUAACUACGUGCCAGCCGCCGCAGUAACAC
rnacentral:rRNA from 1 species